rnacentral:rRNA from 1 species
GGAAGUAAAAGUCGUAACAAGGUUUCCGUAGGUGAACCUGCGGAAGGAUCAUUAUCGUUGGGCUUCGGCCCAUUCGAGAUAACACCCUUGCCUUUUUGAGUACCUUUUCGUUUCCUCGGCAGGCUCGCCUGCCAACGGGGACCCUUCAAAACGCUUUGUAAUACCUGUAACUGUCUGAUAUAACAAGCAAAAAUCAAAACUUUCAACAACGGAUCUCUUGGUUCUGGCAUCGAUGAAGAACGCAGCGAAAUGCGAUAAGUAGUGUGAAUUGCAGAAUUCAGUGAAUCAUCGAAUCUUUGAACGCACAUUGCGCCCUUUGGUAUUCCUUAGGGCAUGCCUGUUCGAGCGUCAUUUAAACCUUCAAGCUCAGCUUGGUGAUGGGUGACUGUCCUCCCCUCGCGGGGGGGACUCGCCUCAAAAACAUUGGCGGCCGGUACAUUGGCUUCGAGCGCAGCAGAAACGCGGUCUCGAGUCCGGUGGAUCGGCUCCCAUAAGCCUUCUUUUUUAUUUUGACCUCGGAUCAGGUAGGGAUACCCGCUGAACUUAAGCAUAUCAAUAAGCGGAGGA